rnacentral:rRNA from 1 species
AGUAGGGAAUCUUCCGCAAUGGGCGAAAGCCUGACGGAGCAAUGCCGCGUGAGUGAUGAAGGUUUUCGGAUCGUAAAGCUCUGUUGCCAGGGAAGAACGCUUGGGAGAGUAACUGCUCCCAAGGUGACGGUACCUGAGAAGAAAGCCCCGGCUAACUACGUGCCAGCAGCCGCGGUAAUACGUAGGGGGCAAGCGUUGUCCGGAAUUAUUGGGCGUAAAGCGCGCGCAGGCGGUCAUGUAAGUCUGGUGUUUAAUCCCGGGGCUCAACCCCGGAUCGCACUGGAAACUGCGUGACUUGAGUGCAGAAGAGGAGAGUGGAAUUCCACGUGUAGCGGUGAAAUGCGUAGAGAUGUGGAGGAACACCAGUGGCGAAGGCGACUCUCUGGGCUGUAACUGACGCUGAGGCGCGAAAGCGUGGGGAGCAAACAGGAUUAGAUACCCUGGUAGUCCACGCCGUAAACGAUGAGUGCUAGGUGUUAGGGGUUUCGAUACCCUUGGUGCCGAAGUUAACACA